rnacentral:rRNA from 1 species
GGGGAACUGCGGAAGGAUCAUUA